rnacentral:rRNA from 1 species
UACAGAGGGUGCAAGCGUUGUUCGGAAUUAUUGGGCGUAAAGGGAGUGUAGGCGGUUUUUUAAGUCUUCUGUGAAAUCUACGGGCUUAGCUUGUAACGUGCAGAGGAAACUGGAGAGCUUGAGUGUCGGAGAGGAUAGUGGAAUUCCCGGUGUAGAGGUGAAAGUUCGUAGAGAUCGGGAGGAACACCAGUGGCGAAGGCGACUGUCUGGCUGACAACUGACGCUGAGACUCGAAAGCAUGGGGAGCAAACAGG